AGGAGAAUGCACAAUCAGUUAAGUAAAUUAGCAGCUAAUCAUUCAAAAGUGACAGGUAAGUGGCUAUUCAUCCUGUGUCGCACCUUGACUGAGGCUGUGGAUGAGGGGCAGGGGCGCCCCGGCGAUGGUGGCACAGCAGCAGCGGGGCCCUCGCCGGUGGCGCCGGGCCGUGAGGGGGCUGCUGCACCACAGGGGGACCGCGACAGGCUGGAGAAAGGGGCUGACAGGAACCUCAGGCCGUUCAGCGUGGGAAGAACCAAGUCCUGCAGCUGGGAACAGCCCCAGGCACCAGCACGGGCGGGGGAAUGCCCCGCUGGGAAGCGGUUUGUCAGGAAAGGCCCUGGGGCUCCUGCUGGACACCAGCAUGAGCUCUCCCAGCAAAGAAUGCUAAUGGCACACUGGGCUGCACUAGAAGGAGCACUGAAGCAGGUUGAGGGAGAUCAUCUGCCCCCUCUUUUUAGUACCGGCUGAGGCCACAUCUGGAGAGCUGGGUCUAGUGCUGGGCUCGCCAGUACAAGACAGACACAGGCAAAUGACAGGCAGUGCACAGUCAUGUGCAGUGGACUCUACAGCUAAAUGCAACUCUGUGACUCCAGACUCACUGCACAGGUCUCUGUCCCUCCUCUUCUAAAGAAUAGUGCCAUCAUAAAACAGUACUGUGCAGAAAAAUCAGACUCAGCAGUACAAAGUGAAGGUGUUAUCACAAGAACCUGUUUCCUCCUAAAGGUAGCCAACUGGACCACAUAUGGUUAUAAGGAUAUCAUCAAAAACAUCAAGGAUCUAAGGAUAACAUCAAAAACACCGAAAUCCAGUUAUGUUCUUACCAUAGUUCAGAGCUUCUGGAGCAGUCCACUUGAUUGGAAUCUGCUUUAGGCCUGAUGAUGAGUACACGCCAUCGUCCUCUUGCCGGGACAUCCCAAAAUCACUUAUUU